UUUGUAUCACCUUUCUAGAAUAAAUCUGGUAGUGAAGUGGAGAAGAGUCCUGAAACAUUCAGAUCUGGUAACGGAUGUUGGUAAAAGCUGGAUGUCUUUCGAGAUGACAAAUAAAAAGCUGAUGCCUGAUCAAAUUUUGACGUGGGAGAAGAAAUUUGUUUCUCUGUAUACCAGAUAAAUGAACUGGAUGUAGCAAAGAUGAUGGAUCUGGUAGGAGAAGUGGACAUAAUAAAGAUAUGGGAUCAUGGGAAGAAAAUUCCACCGUUGAGGAGGAGAUGCAAGCUUGAGUUUCAAACAAAAUGUCCAUAACUUGCAAAAUUGGGGGAUGUACUCCAACAAGUGGAGGUGGCCCCAAGAGAAUAAAAUUAUGUAAACAAUGACUUAGGUAAAUUUGGUUAUCUCACCAUGGAAGAAGCAUUGCUGCUCCUGCUGAAGUUUGAGCUUCCUGGAUGCAUCCUCCGAAAUCAGAUAAUCUCUGUUUAUGGGCUAAAGUUCAGCUAAUGGAUUUUGUUCAGUCAUUAGUCAAUGCAUAAUUUGGGGUAACUAUCUUGCUGAUUGUAGUCUUGAGAUUUUGGAUGAUCCUUUGGCGACUACACUGCUCAAGGUACUUAAGUUUCAUUAACUUACCUUUCGAAUCGUAACAUUAGACUUAACUAUAGAGUUGGACUUUUUAGCUGGUUGGUCGUCUGUGGCCUUUCUAGUCUUAAAAAAAGAAAUAUUAUGUCUGUGAAAGAUUCUAUUGUAGAGUUUUUUCUAGGACUGUUGAUAUUGCAUAUUAGGAGUCUCUACUCCGGAGGCUAAAAUGUACAGCCAGAGUAACUUGUGACUCAAGAUAUACAGAAGUUACUAAGAAGAUCAUGGAUCACAGACAUUAGAAAUUUCUUCUGAACUUGACAAUUCUUGAGCAAGGGUACUCUAUUUGCAUCUUGGUAUUCAGAGGGAAGUCUUCAAUCAAAGGUAUUUUCUUUUGCGAUAUUUCUUAUGUUGGUUUGCUGCAUGCCCAACGGGAUCCAUCCUUUAUUCGCCCCAUAUCUCGUGGUAUUCAGAGAUGCCUCAUGAGAUGGUGAGGAAUGCCUAGGUUUUGAAUUUAUUAAAAUGAAAAAUGUAAAUGUCAUGUGGCAUGUGCUAAGUUUUAGUGAGUGCCUCGGCUUGCUCAAGAGCAAAUGCACCUGAGUUUCAAAAACUCCUUUCAGUAUUGGUGGCAGCAUUGUAUUCCGCAGCUAUCGUCAUUUGAUGUUUGAAGCUGGGUAUAAUGCAGUAUGUUCAAUUCUUAUUAGUUGAUAAUUUUACUUUCAUGGUACUAGGAGGUUAACUAUUGUUGACAUAAAAAAUAGAAAAGACUAUGAUUGAGUCGACUUUAAGAAAGAGAAUGCCUCUUUUUUAUUACAAUAAAUUAAACUGCAAGAGUUUGCUUUUCCAUUGACCAACCAACCAUUUCCCCUCCACCCAAAGGAAACUAUUUUCCACUAUUUAUAGGAGGUUUCAGCCGGAAUUCCAUCAUAUCAAUUAAAUCAGCCACAGUUUUGAGCUCGGACAACACAUCGCUGCUCUCUGCUCUGAUUGGUUGAUGAGGCCGGUGGCAUUCCCAUCAGUGUUCCCUUCAGGUAAUGAUGUUCUGCAGAGGAUAGGGGGGCCAAACCAAUUGAUUAGUGGGUUUGGGCAGUACUGACAUCAUUUGCAACAAGUGUAGGUGAUUGAUGGGAUGAUGCGACAGGAUGUAAGGAAUUUACAAUCAUUAUGAUUCUAGAUAUUACGGUGGCAAUGAGCUCGAGCUGACCUUCGCAGACCAAGCUUGCAUGUGACUGAAGUAGCUCCUGCGAGCACUGAGUAUGAGAUCGUAGGUUGGCAGUCAACAACUAUAAUAAUAUUUCAAUCUGAGAAAUCCAAUCUCUCUCGACUCUAGGCUGCAGCUUAGAUUUCCUUUUACUAGUUUUACUUGUGAUUGAUAAGAAGCUUUUCUUUAGAAAUGUCAGAUGUAUGUUAGAGAUGGUGCACUUAAGAUUCAAUUUUCUAUCCAAAGUUUAGGGCAUUGAGGAAUUCAAUAUUUUUGGCACUUCAUAAAUAACUUUAAACAAUCUAAUAAUACUUACCUACUAUGUUUACAUAGGUUAACAGAAAAACUACUGCAAAUGCAUGUGUAAUUAGGAAGUGAUUGGUAGUUUUAGUCCUUUCGGUGGAUGACAAAUAAUUAUAGUGGCAAUAUCUUUCUAUCAAUCAGUUCAAAAGUUAUGUUGGUGGGUACUAAUGGUAUUUUUCUGCAGUACACUGGACUAUUUUAUGUUUUUAUUUGCUCAUGCUAGAUUAUCCUAAAAGCCUCUAUUUGGUAGAAAUUAAGAUUCGGAUUUUAAUCUAAAUCCAAGUCAAAGCCUAAUUUAAAACAUACAUUUUAUGGGAUCCGUAACUUUUCUACUACACACCUCAUCAUCUUUUAUCAAAAUCUACUAAAAAUCUGAUUUUAAUCCUCGCCAAACAGGGGAUAAAUAUACCGAGAAAAUUGCAUGCUCAACAAGUUAUCAUGAAUCACAAUCUCUUCAAUGGAACAACUUUGUCCACCCUGGUUUAAUGUUUAAUCAGUUGUGCAAACAUGAACUUUGCUAUGCCCGUCUAUGAAAUUAUGUGUCUUCUAUUUCAGGGUUCAUGAGGCCAUGAUUAUUCUUAUAUUGGUUCAGAGCUCUCUUUGAUUGUCAAACCACUGAGUAAGUUUGUUUGUUAUGAUACCUCAACGUAUGUUAGAGUAGGAAUGAGAUAGAAUCAGUUAACAAUUAUUUAUUUCCUCUUUUGAUAAAUGGCCCCGAUACAACUCCAAUUUCCUUAUCACUUGGAUAUUCUACGAGUUACAAAGGAUUUCUCUGCUUCUACUUUAAUAAAGCAGAUAUUGGAAUUGCAGUGCUGAUGUCCAGAAUAAUAACUCUCUUGCUAUAUAUGUGCUUAGAUUCAUUGCUGGAGUUUUCUUAACUAGGUAUGGAACGUUUCCAUUCUCUACUUUUCAUGAAGUUCUGAGUAACGACACUAUAUGAGGAUCUAAUAAGGGACAACUUAAGAUCGACUAUUACAUCUUAUACAUUUUUCCAUUGCAGUCAUCUGUAUCUUUGUUCUUGACACUAGGUUAAUGUUUAUCCUGGAGAAAUCAAAGUACAAAUGUUAAGCCUUCUUUAUACAUCACAUUUGAGGAAGUUGUAGUAAUUUUUACUGAAACCAUCAGGGUUCUCACUCAUUGCGUUGUACAGCAUCGAAAUGUAUUAUUAAUAAUUUGGCCCCCCGAGACAUAACUCAGUGAUAUAAAAGACGUGAAUGAGAUAGUAUCAACCUCACUGACAGCUGCAGUGUGAGAGUUCAAUUCCUAAAAUAUGGAAUUAGACUCUUAGUCGGCACUAGUGUACAGGCAAGCUCUUGUUCCCCAGCCUGCUGAGACAUAUCCCGCAAUUUACCUCCCUUACGAUGCUCCAAUGGUGGGACAGUGGGGACCCUCAAAGUUGAGGUUCAACUUUUAAUAAUUUGGAAAGAGAAAAAUUCUCUUACGUUAUUACUCAAGUUUUUGUAUAGGAAAUCAAUUAUAAUUUAGUAGGUGUGUUGAUUGUAAUCAUCACACGCUUCUCUCCAUGAGAUUGCUUGUCAAAAGUAGAAUAUUCUGAAUGGAUAAU